GCCGAGGUGGUGAAAUUGGUAUACACGCGACGCUUAAACCGUCGUGAGCUAACGCUCUUGCGGGUUCGACCCCCGCCCUCGGCA
rnacentral:tRNA from 1 species